AUUUUUGUUUACUUUCUGCAAAGAAGGAAGUUACUCUCAGAGUCAAGUUGCUCAAAGGAUUUCUUUGGAUUGACACAGUCUGAAAGAGACCAACAGCAACUGGAAAUGUAACAAACGUUGCACCUUUAGUCCCCAAUCAAACAGUCUACCAGACUAUCUGAACAGGCAAAGACUUUACACCCUAACUCAGAGGGAGAAGUCCAACUUUUUCCUUGGCCUCAGACUUUGAAGCAAGUUGAAGGUGUUGAUCUGAAGAAGCCAACAUAAAGAGAUAAAACUGAAGCUUCUUGAGCUCAGAGGCACUGAGAGAAGCUUCAUCAUUUGGAGUCUGAUGUGAAUAGAGCUGAUGCACCUCUGCACUGAAAGAAGUUGGAGACUGAAGUGGUUUGGAAAGAUACCUCCUAGCAGCCUCGCUUUGAAGGUGUGCUGAGCAUUCCCAAUGGAAGGAGAACCAGAGGGAAUAUUUACAUACCUUCUGACAUAAGUCAAUCAAUGAUUAUGGGGAUUUCUGGGUUUCCCUCCUGGCUCUGUUAUCUUAGCAAUCUGGAAUAUGAUGGUGAAAUGGAAUUAAUCUAAACUGAUCCUAAAUUCUUGACAGAUGUUUUGGCUAUAAUUGGACUGAAACUUCCAUAGACAUCUAAAGUGAAUUUUAGACACCUAAGAGAAGAAUAAAUUUCGUAGAGAAUGGUGAGAAUAAGUUGGCAUCACAAAACCUUAUGAAACUACGAUUCUUCAUCAGUAACUGUAUUACUUUCUCUCUCCUUUUCAAACAAUCAAUAAUUGUUUCAAAAUGAACCAUCUUGUUAUCAAGGCAGAGUCAGUGCCAAUUUAAGACAUUAGCAUGGCAACAUUCCUUUGGAAGAAUAUGCAAUAGAUUAACACAAAGAAGCACAUAAAGAUAGGACGGAAAGUGAGGUUCUGUUUAUUAAAGAAAAUAAUUGAUUAUGGCCCAGUCUUGGACAAAAACAUGUUUCCAAAGGUUUCACUAAAACUUCAGGAGUCAGAGUCACUUUAAAUGUAUUUGAAGAGAAGUUCUGCAAAGUUCUUAUCAGUAAGAGACAGUGACUUACUAUCAGAAGAGGCAGAUCUCAACAAUAAGAGGAAAUCAAUAAGCCGUAAACGUGCAUUGAUGAGGCAGAAAGUACCAUGUUGACCAGUGUCGAGUUCAAUUUACACAAUGGCCAACAGGUGCUCUUCUUCACUGAAAAGACUGAAAACUGUUCACUUUGGCAGGCUGUUUUAAUGUAAAAUCAAGUUUCUACUAGGUAAAAUAGCUAUCUUGUCUAGUAACUUUAAUUACAAUCUUCUUGAAUUGUAAUUACGGAUGAUGACGAAUUUGGCAACGUCAUUUGAAAUAUCUUGAAAGGUAUAAUGAUCCGCCGAAAUGCAACUAAAGACAUCUUGAAUUCUUCUCCAUCCAUCCAUCCAUUUUCUAUACACUCUUGUCCCUAGUGGGGUCAGGUUUUCUGGUGCCUAUCUCCA